rnacentral:rRNA from 1 species
UCUCUUGGCGGCGAGUGGCGGACGGGUGAUUAAUAUAUCGGAACGUGCCCAGUAGCGGGGGAUAACUACUCGAAAGAGUGGCUAAUACCGCAUACGCCCUACGGGGGAAAGGGGGGGAUCGCAAGACCUCUCACUAUUGGAGCGGCCGAUAUCGGAUUAGCUAGUUGGUGGGGUAAAGGCUCACCAAGGCAACGAUCCGUAGCUGGUUUGAGAGGACGACCAGCCACACUGGGACUGAGACACGGCCCAGACUCCUACGGGAGGCA